GUGCUCACUUCAGCAGCAUACACACUAAAAUUAAAACAUAGAGAGAAGAUUAGCAUGGCUGCUGUGUGAGGAUGACAUGCAGAUUCCUGAAGUGUUCCAUAUUUUU